ACCAAAUGUCGUUAGCUCAAUUGG
rnacentral:siRNA from 1 species